rnacentral:lncRNA from 1 species
AUGGUUGUGAUAUCAUUAGCUACUAAAGGUGUGGGAGGAGUUAGCAAUAUCACUGUAUAUGCUGCACCAGAUUGUGUUAUAGCAAUUGAUACAUACUCCAAUUGUGGUCUAUGCCAAACUCUAGCAGUAGCAACUGGAGGUUACAAGAUUCACUUUAAUGGAAAUUCAAUUCGGAUUUUUACAACACCAGCUUGCACAGGCCAAGGCACACUGAUAAGUAAAGAUCAAGAAGCAUGUGGUGUGGGCACCAUUCCUAUUCUCAGUUUUGUUAUACUCUGUUGAGAAUGAGAUAUAGUGACUUUUAUUAAAUUAAAUAAAUAAGAGGCAAAGCUUCAAUAUCAUGAGACUUUAGGCCAUGUUCUAUAGAAAAAUUCAUUAUUACAUCAAGUCAUCUUCAUAAUUCAAGCAAUUUAUGUGUGAUGUA